AUGGCACGAUGAGGAAACUUUCUCAACAGUUCCUUAAACCUCUCCCAUGCAUCAUACAAUGAUUUCCCAAUAAGUUUGGUAGAAAUUAUCAAUCUCUCCCCUCAACCGU